AUUGAACGCUGGCGGCAUGCCUUACACAUGCAAGUCGAACGGCAGCACGGGAGCAAUCCUGGUGGCGAGUGGCGAACGGGUGAGUAAUAUAUCGGAACGUGCCCAGUCGUGGGGGAUAACGUAGCGAAAGCUACGCUAAUACCGCAUACGAUCUAUGGAUGAAAGCGGGGGAUCGCAAGACCUCGCGCGAUUGGAGCGGCCGCUAUCAGAUUAGGUAGUUGGUGGGGUAAAGGCCUACCAAGCCUGCGAUCUGUAGCUGGUCUGAGAGGACGACCAGCCACACUGGAACUGAGACACGGGCCAGACUCCUACGGGCGGCAGCAGUGGGGAAUUUUGGACAAUGGGCGCAAGCCUGAUCCAGCAAUGCCGCGUGCAGGGUGAAGGCCUUCGGGUUGUAAACUGCUUUUGUACGGGGCGAAAAGGCUCUCUCUAAUACAGGGGGCUCAUGACGGUACCGUAAGAAUAAGCACCGGCUAACUACGUGCCAGCAGCCGCCGUAA
rnacentral:rRNA from 1 species